ACAUUUUAUUCUUCAGAUAUCCUCCUAAUAAUUAAAGAUGACAUAAUUUCAGAUGUUAACAUUUUUGAAAUUAGAUGUUAACCUUUUAAAAAAUUCUGUACAUCAUUUUAAAUUUUUGCACAGAGCCUGUUACAAAGACUGGAAUUCUUUUAAGCAUAAAAGAUAUUCUUGUACUUAAUAGAGAAAGUCAGCAUGUUAUGGGUGAGUUCCUCCCAUCCCAACAAUUGUGGGAAAUUAACUAUUUUAACGAGUGAAGUUAAAGUAAAAUUGAGACACUUUUUCCUAACUAUAUAAAAUAAAAAUUAGGUAUUGGGUGUAUUGAAAACUUAGGUAAGUAAUAAUAAAAUAACUUUUAUUAUUUUUUAAUUUACAUCCAAGUUAGUUACCAUAUGGUGCAACAUUGAUUUCAGAAGUGGAUUCAUUAAUGCCCCUUACCCAUUUAUCCCAUCCCCCCUCCCACAAGCCCUCUGGCAACCCUCAGUUUGUUCUCUAUAUUUAAGAGUCUCUUAUGUUCUGUCCC